UGCAAUAAUUCGUCAUGUUUGUAUUAGGACGAGAUAACUAAAAACAGAUCUCAUUUCAGCCGGCAAUCUACGAGUGGUUACAUGAAUAUAAAACCUGCCUCGUUAAUCUGGUAUCUGGUGAACGGCCGUCUGGAGGUGUGUGACAGAGCUAACGCUCGAUCUCGGGAACUAUUACAGCUGCAACGUAAACAGUAAAAUUAAGCCUAUGGCCACACGAACAGUGUGUCGGGCGCAACACUCUUCCAUAUAGGCACAACACCAGACCGCCACUGUUCAUCGAUGAACGAGGCCCCUCAGCGUACGCUUGUCAUUCGUCAGUUGCUGCUGGCAGUACUCCUGCGUACGCCUGUACUGCGGGAGCUCCGCGUUCUCGUGCAACACUGUCCUUUCGAACAACGGGGCUCGUGGGGAGUGCCGCUAGCUCGAAAGGCAAAGUGUGCUCAUAUUCGAACUCCUGCGGACUCUGCCCGCCUCUCUUAAUGGACCCAACUCCGAACCCUUUUCACAACUAUGUGUUUGGUUCGUUUUUUUCCUAUUACAGAAAGACUCACUGCGCUGAGUCUUUGCAGCUCCGUUCCGAAAUAUCGGUGAAAUGGUAAGUUGGCACAACAAUAAUUGCACGUCACAGCAACAGCAGGGAAAAUGGAAGGACCGUCGUGACAAUGCGGCGCUUCGGUUCGAUAGUGGUAGCAGACACAUUGGGAAUCACAACGACGACAACGGUCUGCAGGGCAAUAACUAAGAACGACCCCAGCCCCCUUUUGUUGAAAAGGAAACGCGGUGGAUAUUGAACAAUCAGAAAAUGCGCAUUGAAAAGGAAUUGGUAAAAGUAAUGUGGUACAAUCUGUAACGUUGAAUGGAGCUGCAUUGCUCGUUUCGAUUGGCAAGUACGCUAUCAAUUUCAAAACUUUAGCGAGCGAUCAACGCAUACGUUCUAUUCAUCUUGCGUGUGAAGACAACAUGCGUAUUUGAGACCGACACGAUCACGAAGAAACCGGGCUCACUCAACUGUUCCUGACACUUCCACACUUCUGUUCCAUUCUCGGUCAUUUCGAGCAGCAAGUAUUAUCGAUUGUCUUUUAAGCGUGUCUACCAAGCUAAUGGCCAGUUUAGUGGGUUACGCAUACAACGUCGCUACUAUAAAAGUCUAUGGUCGGCCUACGAAACGAGAAACGCGCCUACCCUGUGCGUGAUUCCCGAUCUUGCUCUUCGCUCUAAGAACGCCGAGCCGGCAACGGAUAGAUCAGCCGAUGUAGUGAAUCCGUAUCACCAUGUCUGUUUUUGACCUUCUCUAUUGGGAACCCAUCACUUCUGUCUCAACGUACUGUUGGCAGCUUUAUCUCGAAAUAAUGAAAGCAGACACGUGUGCAAGCUAGCUGAUCCAACAUAACUAAA